rnacentral:tRNA from 1 species
GGAACUGUGCCUGAAUUCACAAGGACCACUUUGAUAGAGUGGCUUACGAGGGUUAAAAUCCCUCCGGUUCCU